UGGGGAAUAUUGGACAAUGGGCGAAAGCCUGAUCCAGCCAUGCCGCGUGUGUGAAGAAGGUCUUCGGAUUGUAAAGCACUUUAAGUUGGGAGGAAGGGCAGUAAGCGAAUACCUUGCUGUUUUGACGUUACCGACAGAAUAAGCACCGGCUAACUCUGUGCCAGCAGCCGCGGUAAUACAGAGGGUGCAAGGGUUAAUCGGAAUUACUGGGCGUAAAGCGCGCGUAGGUGGUUCGUUAAGUUGAAUGUGAAAGCCCCGGGCUCAACCUGGGAACUGCAUCCAAAACUGGCGAGCUAGAGUAGGGCAGAGGGUGGUGGAAUUUCCUGUGUAGCGGUGAAAUGCGUAGAUAUAGGAAGGAACACCAGUGGCGAAGGCGACCACCUGGGCUCAUACUGACACUGAGGUGCGAAAGCGUGGGGAGCAAACAGG
rnacentral:rRNA from 1 species